ensembl:lncRNA
CUGCCUGUGAGGUGUGUGGGAUGCCGGCUUUGUGAACCAUGGCUGUUUCCCCACUGCAGCCUCCACUUGGUCACUGUUCAGAGCCUUUGAACUGGGUCCAGUGAAUGUUUACCUCGUGCUAAUGUAGAUUUCCCACGUGAUGCACUGGGAUAACGUGAAACCUGCUCAACUUGAGCAGCUCAUUUUGUGCUCCAAAUGGAAAUCUGGAGGAUGGGAGCAAGUGCUUCUCUGGCCAAAGAAAGAGCAAACUCAGCUGAAGAAGAGCCAUCGCUGGGCAUGCCAAAGGGACCAGAACCAUCACCACCUUCCCCUUCGGUCACUGAUGCUCAGUCACACAGAGGUGCUGCCCUGCCCUAGGAUUUUACCAUGCACAGGAAGGCUAAUGACGUCAAACACUAAGGGUGAUGAUGAAGUCUCGAUGGAGUUCAGUCUCCUCCAGUCUCUCUGGUGCCUCCCAGUCAAGGUCCAGGGGACCCUUCCCAUACAAGGCUACUGCAUGGGAGAAUGGAUGAGUGAACCACGGAUGAGGCAAGAGGGCAGUGUAUCACCUAACGUUUUGGUGUGGAAACUGAGGUACAAAGGACCUGAAUCCUAA